GCCGGGGGCCCGCACAAGCGGUGGAGCAUGUGGUUUAAUUCGAAUCAACGCGAAGAUCCUUACCAGGUCUUGACAUCUUCUGACAACUCUAGAGAUAGAGCGUUCCCCUUCGGGGGACAGAGUGACAGGUGGUGCAUGGUUGUCGUCAGCUCGUGUCGUGAGAUGUUGGGUUAAGUCCCGCAACGAGCGCAACCCUUGAUCUUAGUUGCCAGCAUUUAGUUGGGCACUCUAAGGUGACUGCCGGUGACAAACCGGAGGAAGGUGGGGAUGACGUCAAAUCAUCAUGCCCCUUAUGACCUGGGCUACACACGUGCUACAAUGGAUGGUACAAAGGGCUGCAAGACCGCGAGGUCAAGCCAAUCCCAUAAAACCAUUCUCAGUUCGGAUUGUAGGCUGCAACUCGCCUACAUGAAGCUGGAAUCGCUAGUAAUCGCGGAUCAGCAUGCCGCGGUGAAUACGUUCCCGGGCCUUGUACACACCGCCCGUCACACCACGAGAGUUUGUAACACCCGAAGUCGGUGGAGUAACCGUAAGGAGCCUAGCCGCCUAAGGUGGACAGAGUUGGG
rnacentral:rRNA from 1 species